rnacentral:rRNA from 1 species
UGGGCUCGAAAUGCUAUGGACCGCGGUAGAAAUAUCGCUUCCCCGCAAGGGGCCGUAGUAU